rnacentral:rRNA from 1 species
UACGUAGGGGGCAAGCGUUGUCCGGAAUCAUUGGGCGUAAAGCGCACGUAGGCGGUCCAGCAAGUCAGGUGUGAAAGCCCUCGGCUUAACCGAGGAAGUGCAUUCGAAACUACUGGACUUGAAUACUGGAGAGGAUCGCGGAAUUCCCGGUGUAGAGGUGAAAUUCGUAGAUAUCCGGAGGAACACCGGUGGCGAAGGCGGCUUCCUGGACCGACACUGACGCUGAGGCGCGAAAGCCAGGGGAGCAAACGGG